rnacentral:lncRNA from 1 species
CAGGAUGUCCUCCUCACCACAGACAGUGAUAAUUCGUCCGUUGACCGGGAAUUUAAUUUUCUGAUGCAGUGUUGAAGAGACUGCCCCAGCAUUGUGAAUCCAAGGACGACCCAGCAGGCAACUAUACGAGGGACUGAUAUCCAUCACAUAGAAAACGGUGUUGAAGGUUUGUGAUCCAAUCUGAAUUGGCAAUUCUACCUCUCCAAACACCGACCUCUUAGAACCAUCGAAGGCUCU